CAGCGACUUAUAUUCUGUAGCAAGGUUAACCGAAUAGGGGAGCCGGAGGGAAACCGAGUCUUAACCGGGCGUUAAGUUGCAGGGUAUAGACCCGAAACCCGGUGAUCUAGCCAUGGGCAGGUUGAAGGUUGGGUAACACUAACUGGAGGACCGAACCGACUAAUGUUGAAAAAUUAGCGGAUGACCUGUGGCUGGGGGUGAAAGGCCAAUCAAACCGGGAGAUAGCUGGUUCUCCCCGAAAGCUAUUUAGGUAGCGCCUCGUGAAUUCAUCUCCGGGGGUAGAGCACUGUUUCGGCUAGGGGGCCAUCCCGGCUUACCAACCCGAUGCAAACUGCGAAUACCGGAGAAUGUUAUCACGGGAGACACACGGCGGGUGCUAACGUCCGUCGUGAAGAGGGAAACAACCCAGACCGCCAGCUAAGGUCCCAAAGUCAUGGUUAAGUGGGAAACGAUGUGGGAAGGCCCAGACAGCCAGGAUGUUGGCUUAGAAGCAGCCAUCAUUUAAAGAAAGCGUAAUAGCUCACUGGUCGAGUCGGCCUGCGCGGAAGAUGUAACGGGGCUAAACCAUGCACCGAAGCUGCGGCAGCGAACGUAUCACU
rnacentral:rRNA from 1 species